GUGUCUAAUAUAUAAGUUUAGUUUUAUCAUAGGUAUUUAUGUAUAGGAAGAAUAUAUAAGAUCUGGUACUGUUUGCAGUUUUAGGCACAUACUGAGGAUCUGGAAUGUAUCUUCCAUGGAUAUGUAGGGGGACUACUAUACACGGUAUUUCCACAUAUACCUCUCAUGGGCUCCAACAGCCUAUGAUUCUCAGGUUGGCUCUGUCUGCAGAAUCCAAGAUGUCAUCAAGCCAGAAAGGGAAUAUCUGUCAACUUUCAAAGAAGUUUGAGCAAGAGAAAAUAAUACUUGGGGUGUUCCCUGAAUGAACAAGAAAUCCUCAUUUGCCCAAUUUGGUACAGAUUCCUUAAGAUUCAUAAAAGAACACCAGGAGUUCAUUCUGGGGGACAAGCCACAUCAAGACCUCUCUCCUGAAGACACAUUCAUCUCCAACUCUCCCCUGUGAAAGAGCUGCAUAACCAGUCAAAGAACAAGUAUAUAGGAUUAGCACAUUAUGAAGAAUAAAGAGAAGCUUUCAGCUCUCUGUCAUGGAUGAUAUUUAUCACAUUCUUCACGACUGGCUCUAAUAACAGUGCAGAGAUAAAAUAGGUUUGAUGCAUCUCUUCUGUACGAGAAUUUUACAACUGCAACUAUAAGAAAUCCAGGAGAUGAAACACGCACUUCUCCCCUCUUGCAGAUUUUAUUAGUCUUAAAAAUGAGAGGUGUGUGUGGUGGGGAGACUAUUUCUACAAAAGUGGGCUUGGAUUUUCUGUCUGUUAUGCUAAUGUAUUCAUAGGAAAAGCUGGUGCUGAGGGCGGUUCUCCAAUUAAGACAAAUGAGGCACAUUGAAUUUCUCCCCCAGGGCACAGCAGGGGUGCUGGCAAAAUCUACUUUAUUCUUUUCUGUCAGGACUGAACUGGAAACAAAAGCAUGAAAAUUCAACACAUCCACUUACAGAAUAAUAAAGGCUGUUGUUUAAAGCGUGAAGAGUUUUGGCACCCUUCUGGGGCCUUAUGCAAAUCGCUCUUCCUCUCAACUGCUACCACACCAUCGUUCUUGGAAAUUAAAGAUGUACUUGGUCGGUUAACAGCUGAAAGGAGAAGAGCAGCCUGAAACUCAAUUAGAUUUGUAUUAAGCAAAUAAAUCAGGACUGACUGAUAUUGGCUAAACUAAAAUGCAUUAUGGGCUGACAGUAAUUCUAAUUUGAUUGACAAAUACGUGUGGUAUGUUAUUAA